rnacentral:rRNA from 1 species
UACGAACUGUGCAAACGUUAUUCGGAAUCACUGGGCUUAAAGGGUGCGUAGGCGGCUGUCUAAGUAAGGUGUGAAAGCCCCCGGCUCAACCGGGGAAUUGCGCCCUAAACUGGAUGGCUGGAGUGAGGCAGGGGUGUGUGGAACUUCCGGUGGAGCGGUGAAAUGUGUUGAUAUCGGAAGGAACGCCGGUGGCGAAAGCGACACACUGGGUCUCAACUGACGCUGAGGCACGAAAGCCAGGGGAGCAAACGGG